rnacentral:rRNA from 1 species
CAGGAUGAACGCUAGCGACAGGCCUAACACAUGCAAGUCGAGGGCAGCACAAGGAGCAAUCUGAGGUGGCGACCGGCGCACGGGUGAGUAACACGUAUGCAACCUGCCUAGUAAGCGGGGAAUAACCCGUUGAAAGACGGACUAAUACCGCAUAAUACUAAAUUACUGCAUGGUAAUUUAUUUAAACAUUUAUGGCUUACAGAUGGGCAUGCGCAUGAUUAGCUAGUUGGAGAGGUAACGGCUCCCCAAGGCAACGAUCAUUAGGGGUUCUGAGAGGAAGGUCCCCCACACUGGUACUGAGACACGGACCAGACUCCUACGGGAGGCAGCAGUGAGGAAUAUUGGUCAAUGGACGAGAGUCUGAACCAGCCAAGUCGCGUGCAGGAAGAAUUGUCCUAUGGAUUGUAAACUGCUUUUGCAGGGGAAUAAAGUGCAUCACGUGUGAUGUUUUGUAUGUACUCUGCGAAUAAGGAUCGGCUAACUCCGUGCCAGCCGCUGC